UAGUAAUCCUGUUCGGUACGGGAGGAACCACAGGUUCAGAGCUCUGGUGCGGGCACUUGGCUGAGGAGCCACUGGCGCGAGGCUACCAUCUGUGGGCGUAUGACUCAACGCCUCUAAGUCAGAAUCGUGCCGAGA
rnacentral:ncRNA from 1 species